GACGAACCGUCCUAACGUUAUUCGGAUUCACUGGGCUUAAAGGGCGCGUAGGCGGUUUACCAAGUCCGGGGUGAAAUCUUUCGGCUUAACCGGAAAAGUGCCUUGGAUACUGGUGAACUUGAGGGAGGUAGGGGCAUGUGGAACUUCCGGUGGAGCGGUGAAAUGCGUUGAUAUCGGAAGGAACGCCGGUGGCGAAAGCGACGUGCUGGCCCUCUUCUGACGCUGAGGCGCGAAAGCUAGGGGAGCAAACGGG
rnacentral:rRNA from 1 species